rnacentral:rRNA from 1 species
CGCUAUGUUUGUUUUUACUGGGUUGAUGGGUCAAAUCUGUAGACACAUUAUAUAACUUAUUCAAGCUAUUUACUGAAGCCACGUGACUUAGGAUAUAGGACCGGGAUUAGAUACCCCGUUACUCUAAGCGUCAAGUAUGGUAUAUAUUACUGUCUGCUAGGCAACUCUGUCUUCAUGGGUCAAAGUCGAAGUACUUGGCGGUCUAGGAUACCCAGCCCGCGAGACUUGACGAUUAAUCCGAUGAUCCGCGUGAAACCUUACUUAUUCUCGAAAUUCUAUCAGCUGGUGUAUGGCCGUCGUGUGUGUAUUCUAAGAGAGCUUUCUAUUAGUGGUUGGUAAAAGAAACAUGCGGGAGAUAUCUGCAGCGUAUGAAUCUGUGGUUCGUGCAGUAGUUUAUAGUAAGUCAGGUCGUUAUGCUGCCCAUGUAUAAGGUUUAGUUGAGUCACAAUCUCCAUUUGGUACGGAAAUUCUCUUGAAACAGUUAGUGGAAGAAGGAGUGGGUAGUAACGGAGAAUUAGUAUGUUUCUGUGAAUGGAGAACUUCUAGGUGUACAAAUCGCCCGUCGCUCCCGGGCUCCACCUGGGAU